rnacentral:rRNA from 1 species
CCGCACGCGCGCUACACUGAUGAAGGCAGCGAGUAUUCACCUUGGCUUGAUAAGUCUGGGUAAUCUUGUAAACUUCAUCGUGCUGGGGAUAGAGCAUUGCAAUUAUUGCUCUUCAACGAGGAAUUCCUAGUAAGCGUGAGUCAUCAGCUCGCGUUGAUUACGU